rnacentral:rRNA from 1 species
GACGAACGCUGGCGGCGUGCCUAACACAUGCAAGUCGAACGGAAAGGCCCUGCUUUUGUGGGGUGCUCGAGUGGCGAACGGGUGAGUAACACGUGAGUAACCUGCCCUUGACUUUGGGAUAACUUCAGGAAACUGGGGCUAAUACCGGAUAGGAGCUCCUGCUGCAUGGUGGGGGUUGGAAAGUUUCGGCGGUUGGGGAUGGACUCGCGGCUUAUCAGCUUGUUGGUGGGGUAGUGGCUUACCAAGGCUUUGACGGGUAGCCGGCCUGGGAGGGUGACCGGCCACAUUGGGCCUGAGAUGCGGCCCAGACUCCUACGGGAGGCAGCAGUGGGGAAUAUUGCACGAUGGGCGGAAGCCUGAUGCAGCAACGCCGCGUGCGGGAUGACGGCCUUCGGGUUGUAAACCGCUUUCGCCUGUGACGAAGCGUGAGUGACGGUAAUGGGUAAAGAAGCACCGGCUAACUACGUG